rnacentral:rRNA from 1 species
UACAGAGGGUGCGAGCGUUGUUCGGAAUUAUUGGGCGUAAAGGGCGCGUAGGCGGCGCCACAAGUCACUUGUGAAAACUCUGGGCUCAACCCAGAGCCUGCAGGCGAAACUGUGGUGCUGGAGUAUGGGAGAGGUGCGUGGAAUUCCCGGUGUAGCGGUGAAAUGCGCAGAUAUCAGGAGGAACACCGAUGGCGAAGGCAGCUCGCUGGGACGUGACUGACGCUGAGACGCGAAAGCGUGGGGAGCAAACAGG